rnacentral:lncRNA from 1 species
AAUAUCCUGGUGUUGUGCGGCGAUUUCGCGUGCCAACAGAGAAUAGUUUAUAAUGAUUAUGGAUAACAGCGAAUGUGAUAAAACUUAAUUGCUCAACACAUUAUUUUAUUGAUGAUUCGAUCAGUAAUUUGCUCGAUCUGUAACAAGGCAACAAAUGGAGGUCGAACACAUGCAGAAAACAACAACGAACACACGCAGAGAGCAGCAACCGUAGACACCGAGUCGGCCAGCCAGCCUGCUGUAUGAUGAUGCUGGUAGAUAACUUAGUGAAGGCUGCAAACGCACAGACACAAAACUCAACGAUUAGUCUUACUGUUUAUACUUACUAAUUAAGAUUAAAUGGCCAAUGAGUACUUAGAAUAUAAUCUUUCAAGUUAGGAGUGGAGGAUGUACGUACGUGUCGCAGUUGACGUUGUUGUUGAUGGGGAAAGAGACGGAGACGCCGCACUCGCCGGGGAUGUUGGCGGCGUUGCCCAUGCUGAUGCCCUUGAACGACCCCGCCAGGUUCUUGAGGCAGCGGCACGCCGCCUGCCGGUCGGCCGAGGUGGACGCCUUGCCAUUCAGGGUCCUCACCCCGCUGCAGCACCCCACCGAGGGUGACGACGCUUGCCCCGUCGCGUAGGACAUGCACGGCGCGAUGGCGGACGUCACGUCGCCGCAGGUCACCGCCCCGGACGCCAUCUCCGCCACCGCCAGUGCCGCGAGCACGGCGAACACGGCUAGCAGUGCCAUGCGAGCCAUCGAGGAUCUAGUGCUCCGGCUUGCUUGCUAGCAACUUUGGAGCUAGGAAGGAGCCGAGAGUUUUAGAAAGGUAGUUUGAUUAGCUUGUGUGGUGGUGGAGAUGGAAAUCCAUGGCCAUGGAGCGGGGGUAUAAAUAGCCAGCGAGCGAGAGAGAUGGCAAGAAGGAAUGAUAGGUGUUCUUGCAGCAUUGCACUGCAGGGUGGCGGACGGUGGUGCGUGCAUGCACGUGUCCAUGCACGUAGUACGUCGUACGUAGCUAGUGGGGCAUGCAUAUAUGAUGAUGCAAAAGCUUCUGCAUGCAAAUAAUUUCGAUGUGAUUUUCUUCUUGUGAACACGUAUGGAGUCCGUGUGCGAGCUAGAACAGUGUAGUGUACGGAUCUGCAAGAAGGGCCAGUGGUAUAAGUAGGUGAACCGUCAUUGUCAAACACAAACACAAAAAAGGAGAUGGACAUGAACAUGAUAUGGAGUAAAUUCAGAGUACGGUCGAUAUAUCCAACUACCAUGCCAUGCAUUGUUAAAAGAAAAGUUAGGAGUUAUGACUAAUGAAGUAGUAUUAAUUUCCACCGGCAUAUCUACUGAUCAGGCGGUGCAGAGUGAUCAAUGCCAGCAACAUGUGGUGCUUUAUUUCUUAACUCCAACCAAGCGGAGUGUAUAUCAAGCAUAUACUCCUACGGCAGAAUAUCAUUUGAAAACGAACACUAAGAAAACUUCGUGGAAACCAUCUUUAAAAGUUUUGAAAAAAUAUGAAAAAAAAAAUAGAUGGGAUGUUAGAGGGUGAUGUUCUACCAAAAAGAUAAAACGCCAAUUUUCAGAGGCAAAAUACCCUAUUUUUUGAAUCUCGGCCAUCCCCCAAAAAAAGUCUUCACAAACUAGUCAAGGCUGGGGGGUUAUGGCCCCUGCAGCAUUGGACAUAGCUCCGCAGUGUUCUAUUGCUAUGCAAAAUUCCAGGUUGCAAAACAUUACGGGAUGCGAGCUACGGAAAAUCAAAUUCAGCAGUGAAUAGGGACGUUACUUAUGACACUAUUCAAUGUUGAUUUUGUUAUUUUUAUAGCUCACAUCCAGUAAUAUGUUUGAACUUGGAAUUCCACAUGUCAAUAGGACGUUACCCUCUUACAUUCUGUUUUUUUUAGAUUUUUCCGAAACAUCAAACCAUCAUUUUCGCAUGGUUUAAUUUUCAUCAGUUUUCACCAAAUGUUAGUUUUCAUGAGAAUAUCACAUGAAAACCAACAUUCAAUGAAAACUCCGUAGAAACCACCUUUGAAAGUUUUGACAAAAUCUAAACAAAUGGGAUGUUAAGAGGGUGAUGUUCUAUUGAUAUGCGAAAUUUCAAGUUGAAAAACAUUUGUAGUUAAGUCAUGUUUUUCUUUUAAUUAUACUAGCAAAAAAGCCCGUGCAUUGCAACGGGAAAGAAAAUAACACACGCUCUUAACCCAAUAAUCAUGACUCAAGACCUUAAUAGGCCCGCAUCUUUUAGUUUCACAUGGCAUCACAUUUGUGUUGCCGGCAGUAACCUCGGUGCUCACACAAUGAAAACGUGUUUGAAUGUGGUCAGUCCUAAGGUCUCUCUCUCGCGCGCACGCGUGCACACUCGCUCGAAAUAAGAUGAAAAAUAUGUUGUUUUUCCCGCAAGAUUUUUCAUAGGUGUGCAUGCCUGGUUCUUGAUGUUUUUUUCUCUCACACUGGUUUUAAUAGAUGUUUAUUUGCAAUUAGAAUCACCGACGGUACGAAAGAAAAACGGACGAUGCACUAUAGAUUAAGUUUGCACCAAACAUAAUAUUUUAGAAAAUACUUAACAGCUAAACAUAAUAUCAUAUUUAGAUUCUACAUGUUUUUCUAAUCAAAUUUCAUAUAUAACAUGUUAAAAUCAAAGUUACGGUUUAAAAGAUAUGGAUAGUAUUGUUCUACAUAAACUGUGGAUUGAUUAACCGAAACGUCAAGGUUUUUUUUGUGAAAACGGAAAAAACGUUUCGGCUGACUUAAAACUGGACGGCGGGUUGAUUAUCUAAAAUACCAGGGGGUUUUCUGGGAAAAUAAAAAACGGUUCGUUUGUAACUUAAAUGUGUACUGCGGGUUGAUUUAGAGAAAACUGGGUGGUUUAUUUGUAAAAUGCACGACGGACGACCAGAAACAGUUCGUGCUUUAUUAGUAGGUAAGAUAUAAAAAAUAGGAUCUAUCAUUUAUAUUUCCUUUAAUUCAAAAGUAGCGUCUAUGAUUUAUAUUUUUAAUUAUAGAAUAUUCCCUACCUAUCAAACAAGUGAUGUUUCCGAUAUGUCUUAAGUUACACUUUUAAAACAUUGAAUAAAAUGUUUUUCAAAUGUUUUGAUUGAGAACAAGUAAAUCAUAUUACAUUUAAAUUUAUCUCAAAACGCAUAUUCAUAACAUAAUUUGAGUGAAUUCAAAUUUUUACCCGUUAUUUGGCAUUUUAUACACUAAUUAGCCAUUCACACUUUUCAUCCAAACUAGAUGACCCGUUACGUCCUUGGCACAGAAACCAAAUCCAACCAAGAAGUUAGGUGAAAUAUUAGAUUUUUUUGGCUGAAAUACAUGCAAAAUAUGAUGAUCUGUUGCGUCCUUGGUGCUCAAACAAAUGCAAUUGAAAUGUUAGGUGAACUCUUUUCUAUUAAUUUUGGCUGCCCAUAAGAAGGUUUGAAUUGAAUGUAUGGCGAAAUGUUAACCGUCCUGCCCAGUUUUUCAAGAAGAUGCGCCGAGUACACUCAACUGGGUUCAAUAGAUAGUCAAGUUUGACAUACUGGCCAGUACCAAGUCAGUUGCCCUUUUGAACUUAAAGCCGCCCUCGGCCUUGAGGACGAAUAACGACCGAGUCGGUCGUUCCCAAGGAGUCAGCGCUGAAAGGGUGCAACGCCGCAUGGGGCCCACACGGAUGUUGUGGAAAAUUAGUUCAAAUGUGAUAUAAAGUUUGCAAAACGAAGUGAUAAAUAGUGAAGGAUUUUGUUUGAGAACUAAGUUCUUGGGAUGGGUUAGAUGUUAACCCCCCAAUGCCUAUGAAUUUUUGGGAAUUAAGUUUGGGAUCUGUGAGAUGCCAAUCUCCCAAUGCCUAUGAAUUUUGGGAAUUAAGUUUGGGAUGGGCUUUUGGCCACUAAGUUUUGAGGAUGAAUCACAGGUGCCAGAUGCCCAACAUUCGUUGCUGGUGGGGGUGCUGCGAUGGCACCCCAUGGGUGGUUGUUCUUUGUAGAACCUCAUAAAGCAUCAUCUUCUGCUUUUGCGCCUUUGGUGCACUUGAUCUUGAUAAUUUUACAACUACAGUUGACAAAAUUGAAUAGCAAAAGCAUAUGAAUUAUUAAGACUUAUGGUAGACCUGCACAUGGGAGAUAGAACAAAUGCACCAAGACAAUGGAAUAAAACUCACGGGGUUGCUUUGGUUGCACCAUGGGACACUAUUCACGUCUAGAUUUAUCUUUUCAUUUCUAUUUAGAUAGAAUUUGGAUUUGGAAUUUUUAGAGAUUGUAGAUAUGUGAGCAUUCACAAUUUUUCAUAUUUUUUAAAACUUCCGAAUUUUAAUUUUAUGCAGUGGGAUCAUCGUAUCACCAAUAGUAUGGUAUUACAUGAUACUCUCCUGGCCCAGAGGGCAGGACGAUAGACCACAUACAUUGUCGUCUGCACAAUUUUCACCCCACAACAAGCAUAUGUAUGAGAAGUAGUAAGAUCCCGAUGGUUAACAUCACAACCCAGAACAAGUCUCUUUUCUCCAUUGUUUCCCUUUGUUUUAAGUGAGAUGUCAUCAAUUUUCCUUUCCGUAUCCAUUCUUGGGAGCCUAACCAUAGAUUUUUUUUUGGGAGGGGAUGAACGCCACAUCUUUAUUUGGUCUCGUAUAAGAAUCAUAUGUAAGUUAGUUAUGUUGUCUUUGCCGGCGGUUAGAAAAUCAUCGCUUGAUUUAUCAAGUGGACAUCGUCAAGUUUUUUUCCCUUGCAUUUAGUUACAAAAUUACGAAUGUGCCGUGUUGGUAUCAAACACGUGAAUAACAGUUGCUAAAAUUUCCAGCAUCAACAUGCGGGCAUGAAACUACUUUAUAAUCAUUAUUGAUAACAGCGAAUAUCAUAAAAACUUAAGCUCAACACAUUAUUUUAUUGAUGAUUCGAUCAGUAAUCUGCUCGAUCUGUAACAAGGGCAACAGAUGGAGGUUGAACACAUGCAGAAAAACAACAACGAACACAUGCAGAGAGCGGGCAGCAACAGUAGACACCGAGUGGGCUAGGUAGCCUGGUGUGAUGAUGAUGCUGGCACAUAACUUAGUGAAGGCUGCAAACAAACAGACACAAAAGCUCAACGAUUAGUCUUACUAUUUAUAGUACUUACGAACUAAGAUUAAAUGGCUAACGAGUACUUAAAAUAUAAUAUUUCAAGUUAGGAUUUGAGGAUGUACUUAUUGCAGUUGGUUUUGGUGCUGAUGGGGAAAGAGACGGAGACGCCGCACUUGCCGGGGAUGUUGGCGGCGUUACCCAUGCUGAUGCCCGACCCCGCCAG